UACGAGUGCCCCAAGCGUUAUCCGGAAUCAUUGGGCGUAAAGAGCGUGUAGGCGGCCAGAUAAGUCCGCUGUGAAAUCUCGAGGCUCAACUUCGAGCUGUCGGUGGAAACUGUCUGGCUAGAGUCCGGAAGAGGAGAAUGGAAUUCCUGGUGUAGCGGUGAAAUGCGCAGAUAUCAGGAGGAACACCAAUUGCGAAGGCAGCUCGCUGGGACGUUACUGACGCUGAGACGCGAAAGCGUGGGGAGCAAACAGG
rnacentral:rRNA from 1 species